GCAUGCAGUCGAACGAGAACCUUCUUGCUCGUAAGAGCAGGAUGGGGACAGUGGCGAACGGGUGCGUAACACGUGAGAAACCUGCCCUGAAGACCGGGAUAACCCGGGGAAACCCGGACUAAUACCGGAUACCCUCUCGAGUCCGCAUGGACACGGGAGGAAAGGUCAGCCGCUUCAGGAUGGUCUCGCGGCCUAUCAGCUUGUUGGUGGGGUAACGGCCUACCAAGGCAAAGACGGGUAGCUGGUCUGAGAGGACGAUCAGCCACACUGGGACUGAGACACGGCCCAGACUCCUACGGGAGGCAGCAGCAGGGAAUAUUGCACAAUGGGCGAAAGCCUGAUGCAGCGACGCCGCGUGCGGGAUGAAGGCCUUCGGGUUGUAAACCGCUUUCAGCAGGGACGAAAAUGACGGUACCUGCAGAAGAAGCCCCGGCCAACUACGUGCCUGCAGCCGCGGUAACACGUGGGGGGCGAGCGUUGUCCGGAUUUAUUGGGCGUAAAGGGCUCGUAGGCGGCUUGACAAGUCGAUCGUGAAAACCCGGGGCUCAACCCCGGGACGCCGGUCGAAACUGUCAUGGCUAGGGUCCGGUAGAGGUGAGUGGAAUUCUCGGUGUAGCGG
rnacentral:rRNA from 1 species